AGCGAACGUUUGCGGCGGGCUUAACACAUGCAAGUCGAACGGGCUGUUCCUUCGGGGGCAGUCAGUGGCGCACGGGUGCGUAACACGUAGGUAAUCAACCCUCUGGUUGGGGAUAACACUUCGAAAGGAGUGCUAAUACCCGGUAUGGCGCAGCGGUCUUCGGAUCGCGGCGAGAAAGACCCGCAAGGGUUGCCAGAGGACGAGCCUGCGCCCCAUCAGCUAGUUGGCGAGGUAACGGCUCACCAAGGCGAAGACGGGUAGCUGGUCUGAGAGGAUGAUCAGCCACACUGGAACUGAGACACGGUCCAGACUCCUACGGGAGGCAGCAGUGGGGAAUAUUGCGCAAUGGGCGAAAGCCUGACGCAGCCACGCCGCGUGAGCGAUGAAGGCCUC
rnacentral:rRNA from 1 species